UUGAAUCCUGGCUCAGGACGAACGCUGGCGGCGUGCCUAAUACAUGCAAGUCGAGCGGACCGACGGGAGCUUGCUCCCUUAGGUCAGCGGCGGACGGGUGAGUAACACGUGGGUAACCUGCCUGUAAGACUGGGAUAACUCCGGGAAACCGGGGCUAAUACCGGAUGCUUGAUUGAACCGCAUGGUUCAAUCAUAAAAGGUGGCUUUUAGCUACCACUUACAGAUGGACCCGCGGCGCAUUAGCUAGUUGGUGAGGUAACGGCUCACCAAGGCGACGAUGCGUAGCCGACCUGAGAGGGUGAUCGGCCACACUGGGACUGAGACACGGCCCAGACUCCUACGGGAGGCAGCAGUAGGGAAUCUUCCGCAAUGGACGAAAGUCUGACGGAGCAACGCCGCGUGAGUGAUGAAGGUUUUCGGAUCGUAAAACUCUGUUGUUAGGGAAGAACAAGUACCGUUCGAAUAGGGCGGCACCUUGACGGUACCUAACCAGAAAGCCACGGCUAACUACGUGCCAGCAGCCGCGGUAAUACGUAGGUGGCAAGCGUUGUCCGGAAUUAUUGGGCGUAAAGCGCGCGCAGGCGGUUUCUUAAGUCUGAUGUGAAAGCCCCCGGCUCAACCGGGGAGGGUCAUUGGAAACUGGGGAACUUGAGUGCAGAAGAGGAGAGUGGAAUUCCACGUGUAGCGGUGAAAUGCGUAGAGAUGUGGAGGAACACCAGUGGCGAAGGCGACUCUCUGGUCUGUAACUGACGCUGAGGCGCGAAAGCGUGGGGAGCGAACAGGAUUAGAUACCCUGGUAGUCCACGCCGUAAACGAUGAGUGCUAAGUGUUAGAGGGUUUCCGCCCUUUAGUGCUGCAGCAAACGCAUUAAGCACUCCGCCUGGGGAGUACGGUCGCAAGACUGAAACUCAAAGGAAUUGACGGGGGCCCGCACAAGCGGUGGAGCAUGUGGUUUAAUUCGAAGCAACGCGAAGAACCUUACCAGGUCUUGACAUCCUCUGACAACCCUAGAGAUAGGGCUUCCCCUUCGGGGGCAGAGUGACAGGUGGUGCAUGGGUUGUCGUCAGCUCGUGUCGUGAGAUGUUGGGUUAAGUCCCGCAACGAGCGCAACCCUUGAUCUUAGUUGCCAGCAUUCAGUUGGGCACUCUAAGGUGACUGCCGGUGACAAACCGGAGGAAGGUGGGGAUGACGUCAAAUCAUCAUGCCCCUUAUGACCUGGGCUACACACGUGCUACAAUGGGCAGAACAAAGGGCAGCGAAGCCGCGAGGCUAAGCCAAUCCCACAAAUCUGUUCUCAGUUCGGAUCG
rnacentral:rRNA from 1 species